GCCCGGUCCCAUUCCGAACCCGGAAGCUAAGGCCUGACACGGUGAGGGUACUGCACUCGAUAGGGUGUGGGAGACUAGCACGCUGCCGCAU
rnacentral:rRNA from 1 species